UACGUAGGCAGCGAGCGUUGUUCGGAGUUACUGGGCGUAAAGGGCGCGCAGGUGGCGGUGUUGGCCCGGCGUGAAAGCCCCCGGCUCAACCGGGGAGGGUCGUCGGGGACCGCACCGCUUGAGGGCGGUAGGGGCUGGUGGAAUGCCUGGUGUAGUGGUGAAAUGCGUAGAGAUCAGGCGGAACACCCGUAGCGAAGGCGGCCAGCUGGGCCGUCCCUGACACUGAGGCGCGAAGGCGUGGGGAGCGAACGGG
rnacentral:rRNA from 1 species